rnacentral:rRNA from 1 species
GUACGGCGAGUGAGAGGAAGAGCUCAAAGUUGGAACCUGUUUGGCCUAGCUAAACCNNNNNNNNGNNNGNAGAAGUGUUUUCCAGGCAAGCCGAGUAAAUAAGUCCUUUGGAACAGGGCAUCAUAGAGGGUGAGAAUCCCGUCUUUGGCUUGAGCAUUUGCCUUUUGUGAUACGCUUUCAAAGAGUCAGGUUGUUUGGGAAUGCAGCCUAAAUUGGGUGGUAAAUCUCACCUAAAGCUAAAUAUUGGCGAGAAACCGAUAGCGAACAAGUACCGUGAGGGAAAGAUGAAAAGAACUUUGAAAAGAGAGUUAAACAGUAUGUGAAAUUGUUAAAAGGGAACCGUUUGGAGCCAGACUGGCUUGUCUGUAAUCAAUCUAGGCUUCGGCCUGGAUGCACUUGCAGGCUAUGCCUGCCAACGACAAUUUGACUUGAGGGAAAAAACUAGGGGAAAUGUGGCCCACUUGUGGGUGUUAUAGUCCCUUAGAAAAUACCUUGGGUUGGAUUGAGGAACGCAGCGAAUGCUUAUUGGCGAGUUUUCCAGGAAGGUUUUCUGAGGUACUACGGUAUCAAGGUUGAUCUUUUUGGUUAUACUUCUAUUCGCUUAGGUUGUUGGCUU